GGAGGCAGGUGGUAAACAGGAAAUGGUUAAGUAGGAGCAGGUGGAGUGGGUGCGGUGCUGGAACAGGCAGGAAAUAGCUGAGCAGCUGAAUGGACUCACAAGAAUGCUUUGCCAACUCCCCAAGGCUGGGGCAAAGGCGCCGGCUGCCCCCUCCUCCCAGCCCUGCACAGCGAGGUGUCUGGCCUGGCAGCGCCUGGCUGGCCCCACUGUCCUCCUCGGUUCUGCCUGGGGCUGAAAGGAGCAGGCCACGGGGCUAGGAGGAGAAUGGUGGUUCCUACAGGGGCGUGAGUGACCGGCUUUGAGGGUGCAGGUUAUGAGGGGCUACAGGAGGUGGACAAGAUUGCCAAGGACCUGGAGUGCUUUUCCUCUUCUGGUUCUUUGUUCCCCAGAGGGCCCUUUGGAUUGACUGGGACCCCCCAGGAGCGGUCGGUCCCACCCUCGGUCGAGCAUGCUGCCAGCUGGCUACUGGAUGUGGGCAGGAGCUGAACACCCCAGGCUUUUUUCAGCCUCCCAUUUGUUCCUUGUAAUACAGGUGCCUCUAAGUGUGUGUGGGGGGGGCUCUCAGGAGAGACAGGAAGCCGAAGUGCAGGAAAAUGAGAAGGGCUGGGGCGUGAGCGCCUUUGAGCCUCCACACCCUCCCCUGUCCUCCCUCGGUUCCACUAUGGCUCUCACCUUUAGAUUCCUCUUGGCUUGAAGGGCUGCCCCUUGCUCUAGUAUAAAACCAGGUGCUCUUGGUCCUCAUUUGUCCCCUUCUCAGGAAAGCUUAGCUCGGGGCUGACAGCUUUGCUUCCCAGGGCAGGCGCACCUCACGCUGGCCCGUGGGUUUCCUCGCUGCGGAGCAGAAGUCUGGCCGCUCUAGCCUUGAAGUGUUGCUGACAUAUCUCUGUCUAUGAACCCCCAGCAGCCAGGCAUGAACUCCCAGCUCAGCAGCUUUACCGUGGGGGCUGUAGCCUCAUGGUUGCAUCUAGCUCCUCAGAUGGACCUGACCCUUGCUGGAGAGGGGUUGACAAGUUGUGGGAAGAAGCUGUGCUCCCAGGUUUUCUCAGGAGCAGGAGACAGCAAAGGGGUCUCACACACAAACUCUUAAUAGCAACCCCAUUUUAUUGGUUAUUUAUUUUACUCCCAUAUAGUAUGUAUUUCAGUAAGUGCAUGCAUGCAUUUAUAUAUACAUGUUUUGAAUCAUUUAAUCCCCAGUACAACCCAAAGAAGAGGUACUUUCCCACUUCAUGGACAAGAAGCUGAGGCCCAGAGAAGGGAGAUACGCUGUCCUCGUGGUAGUGAUGUAGUGGGUUCCCUUCUCUGCACUCAAGCCUGGGCAGCUUGGCCUGGAGUCUGCACUCUGACCCGGUACUGUGCUACCUGGGUGAGGAGACUUUGGAGGAGGCCAGAGGGGACCGUGUGGACAAAGGCUGGGAGGCUUGGGACGGUCAGUUUGUAAGUGGGUGGACAUCCCAUCACACCAUUGUCAAUGCCGUUUAUGAAGUAGUGAGGGUGGCACCAGCAACAUGGAAACGCACAGGAGGGACAGACCCCUAAUGGUUCCAGAGAGCUACUUGGUUAAAGGUAACUGUUGAGCAAUGUUCACCAUUUCAUCUAAAGUGAUGUUGAGCAAUAGUGUUAGUCCCACCCAAAGGGAUGUUUUGAUUCUGCUUAAUGUCUUUCUGCUUGUCUCCAUUCCAGAGCAGUUUCUUGAGGGCUUUGGUGAUCACUGCACAGGUAGGUGGCACCUCACUGAAGCUAUCUGUUCUGAAUGGACAGUUUCACUGUGAUCCUCAGGCCCUUUUGGUCACUGCUUGCCUUGGUAAUGUCAUUAUUAGCAACCUCAUUUGAAGACAAACCCAGGGCUGUCCUGGGGCCCAGGGCAGGUGCAGCGCCAGCUUCCUUACUGGUGCGUCUCAGGACUACAGCUUUGAUCUUGUAGGGUUCAAACUUGGGUGGCGUGGCAGGGGCGAUAGAUUCCUUGCUGUGACAUUCACCAUCUUGCUCUCUGCCCUUCCAGACUCCUCUCUCAACACCUAAGCCCACAUUCCUAGCCACUGGACACAUGGACCUGCCUAACAUGACUGCCUCCAAGCUUUUGUACCUGCUGUGCCCUCUGUCUCUGCUAAGCUCCAUGUAUCUUUCAAGCUGAGACUCCCCUGCCUACAGUCUGGAUCCUCAUGGAAAGAGCUGAGCCAUGAUUAUGCAUAUUCCCAGCCUGGCACUGUAACAACUGCAGGCCCUGUAUCUAAUCCCCUAACACUCAGGCAGCACUCAAAGGUCCUGAGUGCCUGAAGGGAUUGAACUCGGGUCCUUGUGCUUGCGCAGCAGGUGGCGAAACCGCUGAGCUAAAUCCCCAGCCCUAUCCUCUUGGAUCUACACCAGAAGGCCUCUUGUUAACAGACAAGUACCACAAGGCCCAGGACAGGGCUAGCAUGUCACUGCAUCACGU
rnacentral:lncRNA from 1 species